UACGAAGGGGGCUAGCGUUGCUCGGAAUUACUGGGCGUAAAGGGCGCGUAGGCGGCCUUCUAAGUCGAACGUGAAAUCCCCGGGCUCAACCCGGGAACUGCGUCCGAUACUGGAAGGCUUGAAUCCGGGAGAGGGAUGCGGAAUUCCAGGUGUAGCGGUGAAAUGCGUAGAUAUCUGGAGGAACACCGGUGGCGAAGGCGGCAUCCUGGACCGGCAUUGACGCUGAGGAGCGAAAGCGUGGGGGAGCAAACAGGG
rnacentral:rRNA from 1 species